rnacentral:lncRNA from 1 species
GAAAACUAAUAGCAACCAAAAUUGCAGUAUCCAUUUACUAGUGUCAAAAUAGUUUACUGGACUCCCAAAAUUGUAGUAUCCAUUUACAAGUGUUAAAAUGGUUGGUUGACUGGACUCCACAAUUUGAGAGAUAUAGCAAAAAAAUAAUAAAAUACAGCAAGAAGAUUACACUUGUUUCUCCCAACAAUUUACAGAGAAAAGGGAAUUACACUAGUUUCUCACAGCAAUUACAUAUUGAACAAACUUCAAAACGUUUUUCACAAGUUUCACAAUUUACAGAGAAUAGGGAAUUUGUUUGAUUCUCACAACAGUUGCAUACUGAACAAGCUUCAAAUCGUUCUUCAAAACCUUUUUCACCAUUUUUCACAAUUUUCUAAACUUCCUUUUNNN